rnacentral:rRNA from 1 species
GGAGGAAAAGAAACCAACUGGGAUUCCCUGAGUAACGGCGAGCGAAAAGGGAAGAGUCCAGCGCCGAAUCCCCCGCUCGAGAGGGCGGUGGGAAAUGUGGCGUUUGGGAGUGAGCGUUCCGGGGUUCUGACCGUGCAGCAAGUCCCCCUGACCGGGGCUGUUACCCAAAGUGGGUGCGAGGCCCAUAGUUGCUGCGUCUGCUCCGGAUGCGAUCUCCUCGGAGUCGGGUUGCUUGGGAGUGCAACCCUAAUCGGGUGGUAAACUCCACCUAAGACUAAAUACGACCGUGAGACCGAUAGCAAACAAGUACCGUGAGGGAAAGUUGCAAAGAACUUUGAAGAGAGAGUUCAAGAGUACGUGAAACUGCUCAGAGGUAAACGGGUGGGCCCUCGAAAUCCUGUGGCGGGAGGAUUCAGUCGGAGACGACGCCAGUGGCUGCCGGACAAAUUAUUGGGCUUCCCCGUUUCGGGACCCGUUCGGUGCCGAUCGGCAAUGGAUUCGACGCAUUUGUUUCCCGCACGAAGGACGCCGCAACCGGUUGGGAGAAGACCUGAGAGUCGGGCGAAGGCAGUUGGCCGGUGGCACUCUGUACGAUGCUCCAGAGUCUGCCGGUUGUUAGCCAGAGUUCCUAUCCGACUUUGGGGACAUCACCCGACUGAGGUAUCACGAGGCCCGCUUAAUGGGCUCCUGCCGCCUCCUCCCUUUAGCGGAGUGCCGGGAUCGCCUCGGGACUGAUUUAGCGACUGUAUUGGGUCGGGCCGCACUCGGCAAUCGAGUGGGCCUGUGCCCCGCCGCAAUCGUAAGUGUUGACGUGCCCGUGGGAGGCUGGUGGUUAGCGGCGAGUAGGUCGGUCACCCACCCGACCCGUCUUGAAACACGGACCAAGGAGUCUAACAUGUGCGCGAGUCAAUGGGUCUUGAACAGGCCUAGAGGCGCAAUGAAAGCGAAUGUCGUGCAGUAGCCGACAGAGUUGGGAUCCCCCCCUUCGCGGUGGGGCGCACCAACGACCCGUCCUCUUCCGGCGGCCUUCGGGUCAUCCGGUUGGGCGGAGUGUGAGCGCACACGUUGGGACCCGAAAGAUGGUGAACUAUGCCCGGGCAGGACGAGGCCAGAGGAAACUCUGGUGGAGGUCCGCAGCGGUUCUGACGUGCAAAUCGAUCGUCAGACCCGGGUCUAGGGGCGAAAGACUAAUCGAACCAUCUAGUAGCUGGUUCCCUCCGAAGUUUCCCUCAGGAUAGCUGGCGCUCGAGAUAUCAGUCUCAUCCGGUAAAGCGAAUGAUUAGAGGCCUUGGGGCCGAAACGGCCUCAACCUAUUCUCAAACUUUAAAUGGGUGAGAAGUCUGGCUUGCUCAAUCGAAGCCCAGACGUACGGAUGUUGAGUGCCCAGUGGGCCACUUUUGGUAAGCAGACCUGGCGCUGGGGAUGAACCAAACGUCGAGUUACGGCACCCGAUGAAAGACGCUCAUUAGACCCCAUGAAAGGUGUUAGUCGCUUUUAACAGCAGGGCGGAGGCCAUGGAAGUUGGAAUUCCGUUAAGGAGUGUGAAACAACUCACCUGCCGAAGCAACUAGCCCGGAAAAUGGAUGGUGCUCCAGCGUUUAGCCCAUACUCGACCGCUGCAGCAGAGCUCUCUAGCGAGAGGUUUAUGCGGCAGUGAGUAGGAGGGUCGCGGCGGCGAGCGCAGAAGGCCAGUCCGCGAGGACGGCUGGAGCCGCCACCGGUGCAGAUCUUGGUGGUAGUAGCAAAUACUCAAGUGAGAUCCUUGAGGACUGAAAGUGGAGAAGGGUUCCAUGUGAACAGCAGUUGAACAUGGGUCAGUCGGCCCUAAGGGAUCGGAGAAAUCCGUUCCGAAGCGGGACGUUACUAUUCGCCUUGCGAGUCAUGCGCGAGUCCCGCUGUCGACCGAAAGGGAAUGGGGUCAAUAUUCCCCAACUCGGACACGGAGAUCGGUCCCUCGGGAUCCAGUGCGGUGACGCAACCGAGCUCGGAGAUGUCGGCGGAGGACCCGGGGAAGAGUUGUCUUUUCUUUGUAAGGGUUCGUGUCCCUGGAAUCGGUUCAUCCGGAGAUAGGGACGCUGUUCCCGUAAAAGCACCGCGAUUCUUGCGGUGUCCGGUGCCCCUCUGCCGGCCCUUGAAAAUCCGAGGGAGGAAGUGUGAUUUUCGUGCC